rnacentral:rRNA from 1 species
UACGAAGGGGGCUAGCGUUGCUCGGAAUGACUGGGCGUAAAGGGCGCGUAGGCGGCGCUGUACGACCCGUGUGAAAGCCCCCGGCUCAACUGGGGAGGGUCACGGGUAACGGCAGUGCUCUGAGUGCAGGAGAGGGAAGUGGAACUCCGGGAGUAGCGGUGAAAUGCGUAGAGACCCGGAGGAACACCGGUGGCGAAGGCGGCUUCCUGGUCUGCAACUGACGCUGUGGCGCGAAAGCUAGGGGAGCAAACGGG